rnacentral:rRNA from 1 species
GACGAACGCUGGCGGCGUGCUUAACACAUGCCAGUCGAACGGAAAGGCCCUGCUUUUGUGGGGUGCUCGAGUGGCGAACGGGUGAGUAACACGUGAGUAACCUGCCCUUGACUUUGGGAUAACUUCAGGAAACUGGGGCUAAUACCGGAUAGGAGCUCCUGCUGCAUGGUGGGGGUUGGAACGUUUCGGCGGUUGGGGAUGGACUCGCGGCUUAUCAGCUUGUUGGUGGGGUAGUGGCUUACCAAGGCUUUGACGGGUAGCCGGCCUGGGAGGGUGACCGGCCACAUUGGGACUGAGAUACGGCCCAGACUCCUACGGGAGGCAGCAGUGGGGAAUAUUGCACAAUGGGCGGAAGCCUGAUGCAGCAACGCCGCGUGCGGGAUGACGUCCUUCGGGUUGUAAACCGCUUUCGCCUGUGACGAAGCGUGAGUGACGGUAAUGGGUAAAGAAGCACCGGCUAACUACGUG